UAGGGAAUCUUCCACAAUGGACGAAAGUCUGAUGGAGCAACGCCGCGUGAGUGAAGAAGGGUUUCGGCUCGUAAAGCUCUGUUGGUAGUGAAGAAAGAUAGAGGUAGUAACUGGUCCUUUAUUUGACGGUAAUUACUUAGAAAGUCACGGCUAACUACGUGCC
rnacentral:rRNA from 1 species